ACUAAGAACUCUAACAAUCAAUCCAGCUAAGAGAAACAGAUAAAACUGGAUACAUAAAGUACACUGUUGACGACUUAAGAAUGUUCAAGAUAGGAAGAGGCAGUGAGCUAUUGCAAUUUCUAUGGUGAGAACAUAAAAUGGACACAUAAUCAAGAGGCAAAACAGAAAAGAGCUGACCUUGGAGCCUUGUUGUCAAUCUUUAUUGGGGAUCCAGAAACAUUACUAGAAAGUCCUGAAAACAUCAAACACAACCCAAUCUCAGAAACGAAUCAAUCAAUCC